rnacentral:rRNA from 1 species
CCUACGGGUGGCAGCAGUCGAGAAUCAUUCACAAUGGGGGAAACCCUGAUGGUGCGACGCCGCGUGGGGGAAUGAAGGUCUUCGGAUUGUAAACCCCUUUCAUGUGGGAGCAAAUUAAAAAGAUAGUACCACAAGAGGAAGAGACGGCUAACUCUGUGCCAGCACCCGCGGUAAUACAGAGGUCUCAUGCGUUGUUCGGAAUCACUGGGCGUAAAGCGUGCGUAGGCUGUUUGGUAAGUCGUGUGUGAAAGGCGCGGGCUCAAACCGCGGACUGCACAUGAUACUGCGAGGCUAGAGUGAUGGAGGGGGAAGCGGAAUGCUCGGUGUAGCAGUGAAAUGCGUAGAUAUC